rnacentral:rRNA from 1 species
CUACGGGCCGCUGCAGUGGGGAAUUUUGCGCAAUGGGGGAAACCCUGACGCAGCAAUACCGCGUGAGUGAAGAAGGCUUUUGGGUCGUAAAGCUCUUUAUCUUAAGGAAGAAAUAUGACGGUACUUAAGGAAUAAGCACCGGCUAACUCCGUGCCAGCAGCCGCGGUAAUACGGAGGGUGCAAGCGUUGUUCGGAAUCACUGGGCGUAAGGAGUGCGUAGGCGGUCUAAUAAGCUAAAUGUGAAAUCCCUAAGCUUAACUUAGGAAUUGCAUUUAGAACUGUUAGACUAGAGAUGUUUAAGGGCAGAUGGAAUUUCUGGUGUAGAGGUGAAAUUCGUAGAUAUCAGAAGGAACGCCCGUAGCGAAGGCGGUCUGCUGGAAACAAUCUGACGCUCAGGCACGAAAGCAUGGGUAGCAAACAGGAUUAGAUACCCCGGUAGUC